GAUGAACGCUGGCGGCGUGCCUAAUACAUGCAAGUCGAGCGAACAGACGAGGAGCUUGCUCCUCCGACGUUAGCGGCGGACGGGUGAGUAACACGUGGAUAACCUACCUAUAAGACUGGGAUAACUUCGGGAAACCGGAGCUAAUACCGGAUAAUAUAUUGAACCGCAUGGUUCAAUGGUGAAAGACGGUUUUGCUGUCACUUAUAGAUGGAUCCGCGCCGCAUUAGCUAGUUGGUAAGGUAACGGCUUACCAAGGCGACGAUGCGUAGCCGACCUGAGAGGGUGAUCGGCCACACUGGAACUGAGACACGGUCCAGACUCCUACGGGAGGCAGCAGUAGGGAAUCUUCCGCAAUGGGCGAAAGCCUGACGGAGCAACGCCGCGUGAGUGAUGAAGGUCUUCGGAUCGUAAAACUCUGUUAUUAGGGAAGAACAAAUGUGUAAGUAACUAUGCACGUCUUGACGGUACCUAAUCAGAAAGCCACGGCUAACUACGUG
rnacentral:rRNA from 1 species